rfam:Gymnopus luxurians FD-317 M1 unplaced genomic scaffold GYMLTscaffold_17, whole genome shotgun sequence.
GGGCACAUGGUGUAGUUGGUUAUCACAUCCGCUUAGCAUUUAUUUGCUCAACUGCGGGGGGUGCUGGGUUCAAUUCCCAGUGUGUCCA